rnacentral:rRNA from 1 species
UUGCACAAUGGGCGCAAGCCUGAUGCAGCAACGCCGCGUGGGGGAAGAAGGCUCUCGGGUUGUAAACCCCUUUCAGCAGGGACGAAAUUGACGGUACCUGCAGAAGAAGCGCCGGCCAACUACGUGCCAGCAGCCGCGGUAACACGUAGGGCGCAAGCGUUGUCCGGAUUCAUUGGGCGUAAAGAGCUCGUAGGCGGUUCGGUAAGUCGGGUGUGAAAACUUUGGGCUCAACCCAAAGCGUGCACUCGAUACUGCCGUGACUAGAGUCCGGUAGGGGAGCGGGGAAUUCCUAGUGUAGCGGUGAAAUGCGCAGAUAUUAGGAGGAACACCGGUGGCGAAGGCGCCGCUCUGGGCCGAAACUGACGCUGAGGAGCGAAAGCGUGGGUAGCAAACAGGAUUAGAUACCCUGGUAGUCCACGCCGUAAACGUUGGGCACUAGGUGUGGGUCUCAACCAACGAGAUCCGCGCCGUCGCUAACGCAUUAAGUGCCCCGCCUGGGGAGUACGGUCGCAAGACUA